UACAGAGGUCUCAAGCGUUGUUCGGAUUCAUUGGGCGUAAAGCGUACGCAGGCGGCUAUUCAAGUCGGGUGUGAAAGCCCAGGGCUCAACCCUGGAAAUGCGCCCGAGACUGGAUGGCUUGAGUGCGGGAGAGGGAAGCGGAAUUCCUGGUGUAGAGGUGAAAUUCGUAGAUAUCAGGAGGAACACCGGUGGCGAAAGCGGCUUCCUGGCCCGACACUGACGCUCAUGUACGAAAGCGUGGGGAGCAAACAGG
rnacentral:rRNA from 1 species